rnacentral:rRNA from 1 species
CCUACGGGAGGCAGCAGUGAGGAAUAUUGGUCAAUGGUCGGGAGACUGAACCAGCCACGCCGCGUGAGGGAGGAAGGUACAGAGUAUCGUAAACCUCUUUUGUCAGGGAACAAAGACUGGGACGCGUCCCCGGAUGAGUGUACCUGAAGAAAAAGCAUCGGCUAACUCCGUGCCAGCAGCCGCGGUAAUGGGGAGGAUGCGAUCGGUGUCCGGAUUUGUUGGGUUUAGAGGGUGCGCAGGCGUUCUGUUAAGUCAGCGGUCAAAGCCCGGGGCUAAACCCGGGCCCGCCGGUGAAACUGGCAGUCUCGAGUUGGAGAGAAGUAUGCGGAAUGCGCGGUGUAGCGGUGAAAUGCAUAGAUAUCGCGCAGAACUCCGAUUGCGAAGGCAGCAUGCCGGCUCCACACUGACGCUGAGGAACGAAAGCGUGGGUAUCGAACAGGAUUAGAUACCCCGGUAGUC